UGGGGAAUAUUGCACAAUGGACGGAAGUUUGAUGCAGCGACGCCGCGUGGAGGGUGUAGGCCUUCGGGUUGUGAACUCCUUUUUCUCGCGAAAAAGGCACAGUUUUGGCUGUGUUGAUGGUAGUGGGGGAAGAAGCGCCGGCUAACUACGUGCCAGCAGCCGCGGGAAUACGUAGGGCGCGAGCGUUGUCCGGAUUUAUUGGGCUUAAAGAGCUCGUAGGUGGUUCGUCGCGUCUGUCGUGAAAGCCAUCAGCUUAACUGUUGGUCUGCGGUGGGUACGGGCGGGCUUGAGUGCGGUAGGGGUGACUGGAAUUCCUGGUGUAGCGGUGGAAUGCGCAGAUAUCAGGAGGACCACCGAUGGCGAAGGCAGGUCACUGGGCCGUUACUGACACUGGGGAGCGAAAGCGUGGGGAGCGAACAGG
rnacentral:rRNA from 1 species